AAAAGAAAUGGAAGAAGUGAAAGUGUUAGGUUUUUGGGUAAGUCCUUUUAGUUUAAGAGUUGAAAUGGCCCUAAAACUUAAGGGUAUUGAAUAUGAGUUUAUUGAAGCACAACGUCCAAUAAAAAAGUGUCCUAAUAUUAUCAAGUAUAAUCCUAUUUACAAAAAAGUUCCUGUAUUUUUGCACAAUGGAAAUCCAAUUCCUGAGUCUCUAGUGAUUCUUGAAUAUAUUGAUGAAAAUUGGAAAGAUGGCACAUCUCUUCUACCAAAAGAUCCUUAUCAAAGAGCCAUAGCACGUUUUUGGGCUAAGUUUAUCGAUGAAAAGUGCUUGCCAGAGAUACUGAAGCUUUGUUAUGACAGCAAUUAUGAAGUAAAGGUGAAAGCCAUGGGAGAACUUCAAGAGCUACUUAAACAACUUGAGAAUGAAUUGAUGAAAGAUAAUAAUAAAAUAUUCUUUGGAGGAGAAAAUAAAGUUGGAUAUAUGGAAAUUGUUUCAAUUUUGAUAACUUAUUGGCUUGGAGUUAUGCAAGAAGCAUUGGGAGUAGACAUAUUGAACAAAAAGGAAUUUCCAAAUAUAUGUGGAUGGGCUGAUAAGGUGAUAAGUUUUAGCUUUAUGAAGGAAAAUUUGCCACCUAGAGAAAAAUUACUUGCAAUUUACAAAGAAUAUGCCCAACCACUUGUGCCACCAAAUAAUGAAAUAAAUCACACACACAAAUAAUUGUAUUGAAAUACUUAAGGAAAAAGUUGUGUUUGAUUUCACAUUGAUCAUGUGUGUGUGUUUUUUUUUUAAAAUUUGUAUAAUUGUUCAUCUUGUAAUGGUUCAAAGGUGAAAUGAAAUAAACCAUAUGUUGCAUUUCUAUGG
rnacentral:misc_RNA from 1 species